UGCCGGCAUGAUUGAACAAUGUUCUCCUGUCAACCCCCCGCCAGGAAUUCUCUUGUUGCGUAGACAUUGGCUCUUAGUUGUAGGGCCGUAAUAAGUUUAUGCUGAGGUAUGCCCCUGUAAUGCCUAAUCCAGGCAUCACUGAUAUCAUCAUUCUCAAAAUUCUCGAUACCGUGUCCCUGGGCCACCAGAUGAAUGCAUUUUUGAAACUCGACUUUCCACCAGUUGCAAGGUUUCGGAUAGCUAACCUUAGGACUGGGUACCUCCCACUCUGGUUGGCUUUCAUCGCCACCACCUUCUAACCUUGGUAUGGGGUCCCAAAUUUGCGGGAUGGACUCUUUUUUCCCACCAGCUCUUAUCAACAAUUUUUCAAAUAACAAUUCCAGAUGUUCACCUUUAAGAAAACCCAACAGAGCCACAUCAGAAGACUGCGCUAAUCUGUGCAGUCUUCUCGCUUGAAUACUUGGAAUAAGCGCCGCUAACCUGAUGAGACCCAGACCUCCAUCUUUAAAACUCUAAUACAAAAUCGCAUCGCACGUACUCGGUGGAAGAUGAAGCCAUUCCUUAACCACUUUAUGGAUCAGCAGGUCAAGGAGUUCCAGAAGGCCCAUGUUCACCUCAGUAUGAUCAGCCAAGUAUACUAGCCUUUGGAUGGUAUAGGUCCUGAGUAUCUCGACUUUCUGAAGGGGUUUGAGGGGUGAACUUCCAAUCCGAUGUAACCAGUCUAUGAGCUUCUCCGACAAACCUGAGUCUGCAAAGCCAGUCCAGGGGUCGAUCCAUGUACCAAGAUAUUUCUCUGAGCAUCAUGGGUCAAUCAUUUGCAGGGGGAACCCUUGAUUUCCCAUGGGGGACAAUCAUUGAUCGUAUAUGAGUCCCGAGUCAGCUUGAUAUAAAAGCCAUGACAUUUUUCACCCUGAGUCCGGAGGCCAGUAAGAUCACAAAAGGACUCCAAAAUUUUGAUGUUACAAUUCAUACCCUCCCAGGAAUCACUCAGCAGUACAAGAUCAUCAGCAAAUGCCAUGGCCGUAAAUUUCAAAUCACCAUGAUGGAAACCUUCACCCUCACUUUCGAGUUUACAUAGAAGGAGAUCUAUCGCAAGAUUGAACAGCAAAGGUGACAUAGGAUCGCCUUGCUUAACACCAGAGCGAAUGUAAAUGGGAUCUAUUUUUUCCCUUCCAAGGGAGAUGUAUGUUUUAAUAUCUUCGUACAUUUCCCUUACCAACUUAACAACGUGCAGGUCGACCCCUCUCUGAACGAGACCCUCAAUUACAUGCUGAUGACUAACGGUGUCAAAGGCCUUGGCAAUGUCCACGAACACCACCGCCAGAUGUUUAUGCUCCCUUUUCGCAUAUUUCACCACAAGUUGUAGUAACUUGAGGUUUUCAUCACAACCUGACGCGUAGAUGAAACCCCUUUGACGGGGGUUAAUAGGACAUGCCUUACACAAUCUCGCAGUGGCGAUCCUGGAGAACAGCCUGAUCACCUCAGAACCAAUGGUGAUAGGCCUCCAGUUAUUGAUAUCACCAAGCUUCUCCAUUUCGGAGGACUUGGGUAUGAAAACUGUGCGGCAGUCCCACAGCGUGUCUGGGAUUGUGCCAGUAAGGAGCCAGAGGUUGAAGAUCUCGGUCAACUGGGAAGACCCUGGGUCUUUUUUAAUGAGAUGACCCAAAGUAAUCCCAUCUGGCCCAGGAGCAGAGGAUUUAGACAUCUCAUUCGCGUUUUUCUCAAUCUCUUUUUCAGUAAUUAGGCCCUUAAACACGGUGUUGUCUGCCUCCGCAUGCGGAGGGAAAUUCACCAGGCCACCAAACUCCCCAGAAGUAUCCCAUCGUAUCUUAAAGUGUUCGUGGACAACACCCGAUGGUAACUGGCACUGCAAGGUGUCUGAGCUGUCCAGAAUAAUGCGCGCCAGACGCCUUCUAUGUAACUCAUACAACGUCUGAAAACGAAGAAAUUUCCCUCUUCUAAUAGCAUUUUUCGCAUCCAAUUAGUUGUUGUUUUGGAUGUAUCUUGACCAUGACCCCUCUGUGAUUUCCGUCCCGUUUGAUCUUCUAUGGCCCGGCAGAUCCAGGCUACUUUGAAACUCCGCAAAAACAUCAUUCACCACCUCUUGAGGAUUUUGACCCUUUAGUACUUUUUCGAAGGCCUCUUUAUACCUGGCGAACCUGCCAGCUGAUAAACCCGUCCUGAUGGCAUCCUGAUAAUGGAGCUUCAACUGUCCCUCUUUUGGCGCUUUAGCAGACCUAGUUUGAUAUACAACCCUACUCCCACCUUCCGGUUCAGUCUGAUCUUUUACAGAGGGACCUUUCCCCAGAAGGCGCCUCUUAUCACUGAUCUGCUUAGCUGUUUUAGAUGGAAUGUGCUCUGUGAUAAGAUGAUUAAUAUUACGUUUACCGGCGUACAUUUCCGCCAAUUGUACAAGGUGAGCCUCCUCCCCCUCAGUCCAUACCCUUUUGUGGGCCCCCCUCGAUGACACUUUGGGAUGGGAGGCCUCAAUCCGUUCCAAGUUUCUCACAAGAGGAUGUUGUAUUCUCUUGUGUUGGCCCAGGCCAAUCUUGGUGGCAAAACCACGCUGGCAUACCUCACAGACCCAUUCGCCCAUGGGAACCACACACACCGUACUCUUACACCUUGGCACGUGACAGACUAUACUGUGGUAAUUAAGAUUUUGUUUACCACACUUCGAGCACUUAAAGAUGACCUUUUUCUGCCCGUGUGCCCUCUUUAGGUGGUCAGUCAGGCCCGACAUCCUAGUAAACCGGGUUAAGCAACGGGGACAAGAUGGAUUUUUGUCAGGUACUGAGACAACAGGUGUUCUUGUUGUUGCACCUCCAUCACUAGACCCGGGAAGAGCCUCUGGUGUUUUAAGCUCUUCUAUAGCCCCACCCAGGCACUCGGCCUCCUCUUGAGCCAAUUCCAAAGGAACGUUCUCAUACGGCUCAGGGAGUUUUGCCAGACCCUCCCAUAAACUUCCAAGAUGAAAUCCUCCCUCAGCUUCAAUUGCAGAGUUAAAAAACUCUAGACCAAUCAGAUUGAGUCGCUCUUCCCUUGGGACUGAGGGUAUAGAUGGAACUUUGGCAUCUUUGACCACGAGAUCUAGAGGGUCAGUUUGAGUACCAGUCGAUAUAUAACGCAAAGCCAGUGAUUGCACCAUCACGUCACUCCGGAUCAAAUUAAAAUGACAAGUCCAAGUGAGGGAUGAAUUAGUUAGCAGCUGGCCCUCUCCCAAACUGCCAGCUUUGUCCAACACAAGCCCAUGGACAAGGCUCUAGGCAACAGCACACGUCUGUACCAGACUUUUUUUGUUUCAGCAGAUCGUGAAACUGCCGUUGGGUGGCAAGUCCAACGACAGGGAGGGCUGAUAGACCCCCUCUCUCACACUGGGGCAGAAGUCGACUUAGUUACCACAAGGGUAUCCGGCGGGGCCACGAGAAGGCGCGACUUCCUCAGCAAAGCCCAGUUAGCAACUAUGACCUCACAUUUAAUAAGCACAUAUAAAUUAUAUAUGUCUCUUUUCCGGGUUAAGUAAGGUGGCCCGUCCACCUAAAGGACCAAAUUAGAAUUUAAAGCCCAAAUAUGGGCCUUACGACACGGUUAUGAAGGAUGAACCCCUCCCACCCAAAACCGAUUCCACUGUCCAGCGAUCCAGCCAGGGGGAGGGGCCCAAGUCUUUAUUAAUUCUACAGGGGUACAAUCGAUCUGGCUUUGCUCACAAAAAUAUGUACUAUAUCUACUGAGGCAAACAGAACCUGGGAUACCAGGGCCCUAGCGGUCCUCUCCAGCCUCGUUUUGGAGAGACCAAGGGCCGAAAGCAGCUCAGCAUUCUUAGGGUACCACUUUCCACGGGCCCCCAUGGGGAAGCCUACAUAUUUAAUGUCCACCGCAUUUGUUAAAUGUUGAAUUUGCUGAUGAAGACGCUGAUAUUUCUUCGCCUUUUCUGCGGCGGCCUCCCUCAAUGAAGUAUUACUGUGCUCAUAGCGAACUGUCACGUCCACAACAAUCGCUUUAGAGUCUCUUACGAAUAUCAAAUCAGGUUUAAACAAUUCAUUCACUUCAUCCCACAAGUGUGGUUCCUGAAAGACUGUCCAAUCCGCCUUCUUAGCUUCCUUGCUAAGAAUUUCACAGAUGUUAUUGUGUCUUUUAAUCCUGGCAUUCUGUGUGAUUGGACAAGUCCCGACAAUGUGGGCAACAGUUUCGAACCUGGCUCCACAAUGCCGACACGAUUGAACGAUAUUCUCCCGCCUACCCCUCGCCAGGAACUCUCUUCUUGGGUAGACGUUAGCUCUUAUUUGUAGGGCAGUAAUGAAUUUCCGAUGAGGUAUGCCUCUGUAAUGCCUAAUCCAGGCAUUACUGAUGUUAUCGUUCUCAAAAUUUUCAAUACCAUGGCCCUGGGCAACCAGUUGUAUCCACUUUUGAAACUCAGUCUUCCGCCAAUUACAUGGUUUAGGAUAGCGGAUCUUAGGAGCGGGAACCUCCCAUUCUGAUCGGCUUUCAUCACCACCACCUUCUAACCCUGGUAUGGGCUCCCAGAUUUGCGGGAUGGACUCUUUUCUCCCGCCAGCUCUUAUCCAUAGUCUUUCAAACAACAAUUCCAGAUGUUCGCCUUUGAGGAAAUCUAAAAGAGCCACAUCAGAAGACUGUGCCAAUCUAUGCAGUCUUCUCGCUUGAAUACUUGGAAUGAGCGCCGCUAACCUGAUGAGACCCAAACCUCCAUCUUUAAAACUCUAAUACAAGAUCGCAUCGCAUGUGCUCGGUGGAAGAUGGAGCCAUUCCUUAACCGCUUUACGAAUCAGUAGGUCAAGGAUUUCCAAAGGGCCCAUGUUAACCUCGGUAUGAUCAGCCAAGUAUACCAGCCUCUGGAUGGUAUAGGUUCUGAGUAUCUCGACUUUCUGAAGGGGUUUGAGGGGUGAGCUUCCAAUCCGAUGUAACCAAUCUGUAAGUUUCUCCGUCAAACCUGAGUCUGCAAAACCCGUCCAGGGGUCGAUCCAUGUACCAAGAUAUUUCUCUGAGGAUCCUGGGUCGAUCAUCCUCAGGGGGGAACCCUUGAUUUCCCAUGGGGGACAGUCGUUGAUCGUGUAUGAGUCCCGAGUGAGCUUGAUAUAAAAACCAUGACAUUUAUUUCCCUGAGUCCGGAGGCCAGUAAGAUCACAAAAGGACUCCAAAAUUUUGAUGUUACAAUCCAUACCUUCCCAGGAAUCACUCAGGAGUACCAGAUCAUCAGCAAAUGCCAUGGCUGUAAUUUUUAAUUCGCCAUGAUGGAAACCUUCGCCUUCGCUUUCGAGUUUACAUAGAAGGGGAUCUAUCACGAGAUUGAACAGCAGAGGUGACAUUGGAUCACCUUGCUUAACACCGGAGUGAAUGUAAAUAGGAUCCAUUUUUUUCUCUUCCAAGGGAGAUGUACGUUUUAAUAUUUUCGUACAUUUCCCUUACCACCUUAACGAUAUGCGGAUCAACCCCUCUCUGCACAAGACCUUCAAUUACGUGCUGAUGGUUAACGGUGUCAAAUGCCUUGGCGAUGUCCACAAACACCACCCCCAGAUGUUUGUGCUCCCUUUUCGCGUACUUUACCACAAGUUGUAAUAACUUGAGGUUUUCAGCACACACUGACGCGUAGAUGAAACCCCUUUGACGGGGAUUAAUAGGACAUGCCUUGCACAGUCUUGCAUUAGCGAUCCUGGAGAACAGCCUGAACACCACAGAUCCAAUGGUGAUAGGCCUCCAGUUAUUGAUAUCACCAAGCCUCUCCGGUUCGGACGACUUGGGUAUCAAAACUGUGCGGCAGUCCCACAGCGCGUCUGGGAUUGUGCCAGCGAGGAGCCAGAGGUUAAAGAUCUCAGUUAACUGGGAAAACCCUGGGUCUUUUUUAAUGAGAUGACCCAAGCUAAUCCCAUCUGGCCCAGGAGCGGAGGACUUAGACAUCUCAGUCACGUUCUUUUCAAUCUCUUUUUCAGUGAUAAGGCCCUUAAACACGGUGUUAUCUGCCUCCGCAUGUGGAGGAAAGUCUACCAGACCACCGAACUCUCCAGAUGUAUCCCAUCGUAUCUUAAAGUAUUCGUGGACAACACUCGAUGAUGGUCAAUCAGGCCCAACAUCCUGGUGAACCGGGUUAAGCAACGGGGACAAGAUGGAUUUUUGUCAGGUACAGAUACAACAGGUGUUCUUGUUGAUGCACCUCCGUCACUAGACCCGGGAGGAGCUUCUGGUGUUUUAGGCUCCUCUGCAGCCACAGAGCUGGGCACUCAGCCCCCUCUUGAGCCGGUUCCAAAGGAACGAUCUCGUAUGGCUCAGGGAGUUUUGCCAAGCCCUCCCAUGCCUUUCCAGGAUAGAAUCCAUGCUCAACUUCAAUUACAGAGUUAAAAAACUCUUGACAAACCAGAUUGAUUCCCUCUUCCCUGGGCACUGAGGGUUUAGAUGGAACUUUGGCAUCUUUGACCACAAGAUCUAAAGGGUCAGUCUGAGUGCCAAUCGAUAUGUACCGCAAAGCCAGUGAUUGUACCAUCACGUCAGUCCGGAAUAGAAUGAAAUGACAAGUCCAAGUGAGGGAUGAAUUAGUUAGCAGCUGGCCCUCUCCCAAACUGCCAAUUUUUGUCCAACAUAAGCCUGUGGACAAGGCUUUAGGCAACAGCACAGAACUGUACCAAACUUUUUUGUUUCAGCGAAUCAUGAAUCUGCCGUUGGGUGGCGAGUCCAACGACAGGGAGGGGAUGGUAUAUCCUCUCUCAAGAGAGUCAUAGUUACUCCCGCAGGUACCCAUGGUACUCCAGUAUCUGUGGAAACACAUGCAUACCCUCUUGCUUCUUCUGAUGAGAUCAGCGUUUGGAGGUUGAAACCUUGUGGACAAAAGGAGACACAAAAAGCAAAGAAAAGGGGGAAGGCUCUUCCCUGAAACUGUGGAAGCCGAAAAUUGUUAUGCAUGAAGACUCAAAGAAGAAAAAGAGGAUUGUAAGUACUCUUUGGGGGAGUGGGGGAGAAGGUAUGGGGGGAUGAGUGUGUGUAUGAAUGAGACACAGGCUGGUUAUCACACACCUGCAGAGUGGGUGAUGAGUCUCCCACGCUGCAGUUCCAUUCUUCCAUGAGAAAAACAGCUGGUAAAGAGACAAAGCAAAAGAUAAAAGGAGUGAGAGAAUCCCCCGGGGUAACUGGGACUGGGUGUCAGGGAAGGGGUGGGACCCCUUGGAGAGAGGAAGCCAAAGGUUUUCCUGGUGCAAUCCACUGGGAAAGCGGGAUAAAAAGUGGAGGAGGCUCCUAAAAUUUUGCUGGAUAUAGGGAUAAAGAUGCCCAAGAGAAUCCAGGGUUGAACAACAGUGCGGGACUGAGGGAUACCCCAGAAAAUCCAGGGUUGGCCAAAACCAUUCUGAGAUUUUAUAAAACCUGUGGGUGGAUAUUAACAAGUGACUUGAGAACAAAGGUACCUUAUUUUUGUGUUGUUCUCUUAUGAGUGGGAGUGAGUGAGAUGUAGUAAAUAAAUAAAAGUGGAUGAGUAUGGAUGAAUGAAAGUCUAUGUAAUAUAGAUUGCUUAACUUUAUUUUCUGGAGGCAAGUGGAUUGUGUGGGAGAGUAUUGGAAAGGAAGGUUUUUUGUGUGCUGUGAGGAAUGUUCAGGUGUCAGGGGAAUGGAUUGUAGCAGGGACGAGUGAGGUGGGGUCCUGGGGAAAUGAGAUAAGGAACCAGAGAAGAGAGCAGGGACCCUCUGGGAAUACUGUCUCUCCCUGUCUCCAGUUUCUCUGCUCGUGCCAGAAGCUCCAGUCUCCCUACCCAUACCAGCUUCUCUGUCUGAGCCAAGAGCUUCAGCCCUCCUCACCCACUGGGCAUGAUCACUCCUCUCCCUGCUGUGGCUUCUCCCCAGCUGACUGCUCAUGUACCUACCCCUGUUUCUUUGCUGAUUCCAGCUACGCUGUUGAAUUCUGCUCCUGCCUCCGUCCCCUUUUGGAUCUAGCUUUACAGCCAACUUUCAGCCUGGUCUCUGUUCCCUCAGUGAUUUCAGCUCCCUCUGUAUCUGUGGGGGAGGUUCAAGAAGGAGACAGAGCCCCAGCGUGGUCAGGGUCCCGGGAGAGGACUGGGGGUGCCUGUUCCUGCUGCAGCAGGGGAGGUCACCCUCACUGGGGAGGAGGCCUGGGGAUGGUUCAGGGGGUGUGCCCGGUGAGGGAGGGAGGAACACGGGCUCUGUUUUGUUGUAUUUGGAGGGUACCUGACGAAGGAAGGAAGGAAUGAUGAAUUUGACUUUGUGUUUUCAGAAGGUUUAUUUACUAUUUUAAGAUACUAGAUUAAAGAAUUCUAAAUUAUAUGAUAUUAAAAAUGCAGAAAGGAUACUUACAGAAGGUUAACAAGAUAAUAAUGAAAAACUUGUGACUCUUUUCAGAGCCCAGACACAGCUUGACUCUGAUUGGCUAAUGAGUCAAAAUAAUUUACAUUAGAAACUAAUGAAACAAUCACCUGUUGGAUAAACAAUCUCCAACUGCAUUCCAAAGCAGCAAAACAGAGGAGAAGCAAAUGAGAUAAUAUUGUUUUCUUUUUUUUCUCUGAGGCUUCUCAUCUUCUUAGGAGAAAAAUCGUGGGUAAAGGGAUUUUUCAGAAAAUAUGAAUGUGACACUGUUUUCUGAGGGAUGGAUAGUGUCUGGAGCAUUUUAUAACAUUAAAAGUAGGUCCCCAAGAGGAAGUAUUAGAAUUUAUAGUUCAUACUGAUGCAGAGAGAACUUAGGUAGUAGAUGUUCCAGGAGGAUAUGAUGUGGGUGGGGUCACAGUGGAAUGGCAGGGGAAAGAGGAGAAGGGUUUAAAAUCUCCAUCAUUAAAAAUGUAGUAAUUGAAGGGGAAACCAGAAUGGGGGUAGGAGAUGUCUUCUUAGUUCCUGGAGCAGGUGUCAACUUCUUGGGAAAGUAUUUACAAAUCCAGCUGGGAAUAGAGGUUAUACCAGAAGAGGAAAGGGCUAUGGAUAAACUCUUUGAAAUAAAGUAGUUGUGUGUACGCCUCAUGUGGUCCAAAAUAUGUUAAAAUCAAAAAAGAAAAAAAAAAAAAAGAAAAGGCCGGGAAAAAAUGGUGAGCAGACUCCUAAGACGUAAUGAUAACACUAGAAGUAAAAAAAGUUUGAAUCCAGCUCAAUUUUUUUGGCAAACAAAAAGGUACAUUAACACAUGAUUGUUCAGAAAUUGUGCAAUACCAAACUGCAGUUCAGGAGGAAGUAGCAGAACAAGCCCUCCUAGAGGGGGAAAAUAUAUAUGUUGAUGGUUCAUCCAAAUGUUUAUUAAAGAAAAAGAAUACCUGGGGACGUCAGGGUGGGGGAUGUUGAGGUUGUGGGGUGUUUGACCACUCUUGUGCAAGCAGCAGAGUCUCGGGGCUGCAGUAGUUGCAGAUCCAUGUGGGUGGCCCGGCCUGGCAACUUCCAGUGUUCGCCCACGCGGUGGAGGCGGCGCGGGGCGCGGGUGUGCGUGGGGUGCCCCUGGGGUUCGGUAGCUGCCUUGGUGCUGCCGGGGUCUCAGAGGGUGCGGGGUUGCCGGACACGCUGGCCAGCCCGGCAGCGGCGCUGGGCACGGUUUGCACAGUUUGCUGCUGAGGAGCGCGGCUGGCUCAGUGGCGGAGCUGCCAGGGGGGUUGGCUCCCAGCCUGCUGGGGUCCCCAGCCCAGGGCAGCAGCCCCAACCCCAGUAGGUGGGUCGAGAGAGAGAGAGAAGGAAGGGGUGAAAGGGAAGUGAGGCACACCCACAAGGUCCCCACAGAGGGGGCUGUCUGCGAGCCCCCCUGCUCCCAGAGGGAGCUGCGAGCUGGCCCUUGCCAGGGCCGCUGUGGUAUCGUGGCAGCAGGAGAGGAGGAAGAGACAGCGUGAAAGUGAACAGAGAGAGAAGGGGGGGUGGCGUGAGAAUAAGCAAUGAGACCAUGGCAGAGAUAGCCUUGAUCUCUCACUAAUUCUCAAAAUCUCACUGCCGGGGUCGGCUGUCACUCGUCUCUGCCCCAGCACGGGAAAAGGUGGUUCUGGGCAGGCCGUGCUUUGAAGAAGGAGUCUGGACUCUUGCUUUUGGUCUUCAGUUGAGUUUAUUGUUCCUUAUCUCCAAAGUUUUUCUGUCUGUCCAGCCGAGGUCUGAUCAGCAAGACAGCCAAGGGCACUCUCUCCCGCCCAUGGGGCAGUUGUCUCUUUUAUAGUAAAAACUGCAUAUAAGAUAUUUACCUUCAAUUUCCAAUACUUUUCGCCCUUGUUGGCAAGUGUACCUUCACCAUGAACCAAUCCACACAUGCCAACAUCAUCCUGAACAUGGAUGCCAAGGAGAAGAAAGAAGGACAGGGCACGCCCAAAUUCCUCCAUCUUGGGACUCCCGACCCAUGCACAGGAUUUCAAACCCCCCUGUACAACAUAUAAAACCCCCCCUGUACAGUGCAUUAUAAUUCAAGUUUUAUCAAGUGAAUAUCAUCCCCUCACCAUUCAGGCCUGAAAUUCUCUCAUUUCCUCACAUUCAGGUGUCUUUGGCUUCCUGCCAGGGUCUCUGAGCCCCUGCCAGGGCUCUGAGACAUCCAGGGCAUCCAGAGAGAUGCUCUGGGUUCCGACACCUCACCAAGUCAUUUAUUUUUGUUCUCUUAAAGCAAGAUUCUUUUUUUUUCUUUUUCUUUCUUAUUUUUUUGCUGUUAGGAUGGGGGAUUUUACUCUGAGAAACUGUUAGAAGAAUGGCUCUGUGGAGGCUAAACAGCUAAAUAAUUACCUCAAAAGGGUACAAGGCAGUAGAUGUUAAGACUGGCCUGGAUUUUUGCUUUUGGUUUUUAGGGAUUUUUUUGUUGGUUUGGUUUGGUUUUGGUCUUUUGGAGUUUUUUUGUUUUGGGGUUUGUUUUGUUUUUGUUGUUGGUUUCUUUUUUUUGGGGGGGGGGGAGUUUUUUGAGGUUUCUUGUUUGUUUUGUUUAACUAAUUGUGGCUCACAAGAAGAGGAAUUUGCCACUGAGUUUUCCCUUUAGAGCUGUUAAGGCUUCCUGUCUUAGAAAGAAGGCAGCAUCCUAAGCACGACAAGUCCGUUUUUCUCUAGGAGAAGUGUCCUUUACAUGAUCCCAAGAGCUGAACAGCCUAGCGCAGCUGAACACCCACCUGGGUACAACAAGAACAAGCAGCUGUGGCCAAAAAGAAAACCAAAAAACCUUGUUACCCAGAAAGUUUUGAAGAAUGCUAAUGGCAAAGCCUGAUGUAGAGUUGCCUUUCCUCCAGUUACUGUUCCUGUGCUAUUAAGAAGUCCUUUUCAGGUACUACUGACAACUGAGGCAGCAGUCCAAGCCAAGGGAAUAGCGAGUGGAUCCAUGCCAGCAGAAUCAAAGAACCUGUGAAGGAACCUGAGGAGUGGACUAGCACAUUUAAACCGGGUGAUACCAAAUUGACUCUUAAGGUGGGACUGGGUGGUAAUGAACUGGGAGAACCCAAAUGAUCCAAGGAAUGUACAAAGAAUCACAGUUAAUUGAGAUACAAGGCCAAGGUUAUAUCAGUGGUUUCAAGUACUGUCUGGACAAGUCCUGAGAGACCUCAGAUACCCCCCAUGGGGAGGAAUACUUCAACUCCAAACAGGAGCAUCAGGACUAUUUUGUUCAGAGAAUUCUCACGUUCUGGUCUUAGCCUGUGACUUACACAAAGAGGAGGAGGAAUUACAACUUCCAUCAGUGCCAUACCAUAUACCCUGUUUGCUUCAUCCUAAUACCAGACAUGCUGGGUUAAAAUGCUGGGUUAAAUGUAAAUGUUUAAAUUGGGGAAAAACUUGGUAUUGUAGUUUACACAAUCAGUGCUCUCAUUGCAGGAAAUGUUGGGCACCAAACCUAUCUCCUGUCCAGACAGAACUCAAAGCAACUGAAAUAAUAACGUUGUUUUGUGGAUGGGAAUUAUUAGUGCCUGUUGAAUGGGAGAUAUCUGAGGAACAGUAGGACACUGCAAUUAAGUGUCAAAAACGAUUUGCCUGGAAAUUAGCAAAAAGGGAGUGACAAGGAGAAGAGGGCAAGACUGGAUUGGCCGCUGUACUCGCCACCAAGAAGAUCAUCUACACCUGCUGUGGGCAGCAACCCCAUAGGCAUGGGAGGUGGGGGUAUAAGCCAUACCAGACCUCUGUUAUUCCUUUUUCUGUCACUCAUCUUUAGGGAUACCAGCAAAAUCGUGUCACAAACACUAUCAAAAGCAUGACAUGGAAAGAAAUCAAAGUUCCUCUUUUAUUUCACACACCCGUGUCAACAGUCACUGCUAUGACCCAUCCAAAUUAAGUACCUGUAGGCAAAAUGGGGAAAAAUACUGCAUUGCGAGAAACUUAGGAAAAAGUGGUAAUAAGUUGGGAAGUGAAUGUCCAAAAGGGGAGAGAUGGAUUUGUUUCACAUUUGCCCUUAGGAGUGGAGUCCAAGAUUUGAUAAAAGAACAAUUAGUAAGCAAAAAAGGAAAACCAGCACAGCAAUCUGUAUAACUCUGUAUCAACCCAAAUUAAUAUGCUGAAUUGUAUUAUAAAAUUCCAAAUAAUUGUAGCCAUGAUAACAAACAUAACCAGUUGGGCAUUGGAAUUAAUAUCAACUCAACAAAGCCAAACAAAAACCAUAAUGUAACAGAAUAGGUUGGCUUUAAACUAACUAUUGUCUAAAGAAGGGGGUGUUUGUGGAAAAUUGAAUAUAUCAGGUUGUUGCAAAUAGGUGACCAUGAGGAAAAACAGCACAUGUACUGAUCCAAAAUUGGGAACCAAUGUUAAAAAAACUAGCUGGUGGAAUAAUGCAUUGGGGGAAGAAAUUAUUCUUCCUUUUCUGUGCUACAGUGGUUUGGAUAUUUCUUCUUUUUUUGAUUCCUUGUUUUAUUUGGCUAAUUACCAACAUAGUCCAAAGCAUAAGAAAUAUUGCUCAAGCCAAGUGAUUUAUAAAUAAUAAGAGGGGGGUUUGUUAGAGAUGCUGUCAUGGUUUGACCCUGGCACAAUGCCAGGGCCCCCAUGAAGGGUAUAUUUCCAAAAUGGUUGCUGUGAGAUGUGACCCGGGAACAGAACAAAGCAGGCUCCCAUUCGGGGAUGGAGGGAAAAACACAACACUUUAUUUAUUACAAAUCUAAAAAGGAACACAUACUAAGCUAAAAAUAAAAUCCUUCCAGAGACCUUCCUCCUCCCCCUCCCUUUUCUCCGCAGAUUCACCACCCCUCAAAUUAUCAACCCUCAAAUCCAUCAGGGAGAGAGGAGUCCCCCCUUGCCUCAUAGGCCUCCCCCGGAAGCACAAUUAAAACCUCCUGUGCUUCCGUGUCACCCAUGGCCCCACCCAGAGAACAUCGGCCCUCGUGACUUCUCCCCCCAUGUCCAGUGCUCUCACCACUGGACAUGGGCCAGGACUGCUUUUAGGGCUCCCCGUUUAAAGAUGCUCCACUCACUUCCAGAAACAGCAGUCUCUCAACUUUGGGACACCAGUCCCCCCCAUAUUUCACCCCCUGGGGCCGUGGAGACAGAGGGCAUCCCACGCCCUCCUCAGCUGUUUCUGUUCACGCCGCUGCUUCACUCUUGACUCCCGGGUGUUGCCUCCCCUUAAAUACAGUCUCUGGGUCGCAGGGAAAAAACACGGGUCUGUCUAUGGCUAUACAAGAAAGAGUCCAGCCCAAGGCCACUCUAUUAUCUCUUCCACUCAGGACUCUUCUCUCCUCUUCCAGCUUUCCUCACGCUUGCCCAUUUCAUCUCUCAUCUCUCUCUCUCACCUCAUCCUGAUUCAGGAGGAUUCAGUAUUUGUAAGGUUUCUAUUAGUCUAAAAAAGGGGUUAAAAUUUUCACUUCUGCCUGUCCAGGACUCCCACAGCUGCCAGGCACCUCUCUGCCGCAUCCCCUGCUUCUGGCUGGCUGAACUGCCAGCACAAUCUCUGUCCCUCUCUCGGGGGGGGCUGCCCAGACAUCCCAAGUCUCAUCAACCCCUGCAUGUUCUCCUCCACCUCUGCACCUUUUGGGGCUCCCGGCCUCCUCCCUGUCAUGGCCUCCCCCUGCCCCACCCAGACGCAGCUGGGCAGGGGAGAGGUCGGGCUCUACUCACCAACGCCGGAUUCCCAAAGAGGAAGUUCUCUGGAAAUCUCCUGCUUUUAACCCCUGUGUGUUCUCAGAGGCGUAUCCAGAUCCUCAGUGGCCACAUCACAUGCCAAUUUUGAAUUUGGCCACUGAUUGGCCCGACUUAAACCUUUCCAGAAACACAUUUCCGGGCCAAACCACGACAGAUGCAUAUUAUAGUAUUGGCUUUUCACAAAUAUUAAAAUGGAUUCUAUAUGUACAGUGUUUAAAUAACUUUGUUUUUAUUUCUGCUAUUAACAAAAACUGAGACGUAGUAGUAGUGGUAUCUGAUACAGUUAGGAAUGAGCUGUCUGUUUGGUGGGGAUAACAUCCAGUGAACAUGUCAUGAGGACCCUGCUGUUGAUAUGCCAACUGUCAGCAUCUGCCAUCUGAAGAAAGUAUGGACCAAGGCCCAGACUGGAAGUGAUCAAGAGAGUGAACCAAAACCACAGCCAAGAAACACACAUGCUCUAAAAAGGCAUACCAAGGAGGAGCCAUGCAAAAUAGUUCUUAGAAUAUGUCAACUAGAUUAUGGAUGUGUAUAAGGAUCUAUGAAUAUGCAACAGGCUGAUGUAAUGGAAAAGGUAUUUAAGAGGUAUCCCUGGAAGUAACAGUGUGCUCUUGGGUGAUUGCCAAGAUGCACUCAGCUGUAAUCUUUGCUUUAUUGUCUCUGACUCCUAUUGUCCUUUAUUAAACUUUUAAAUUUUAA